GAUGAAGAACGCAGCGAAAUGCGAUAAGUAAUGUGAAUUGCAGAAUUCCGUGAAUCAUCGAAUCUUUGAACGCAUAUUGCGCCCUCUGGCAUUCCGGGGGGCAUGCCUGUUCGAGCGUCAUUUCACCACUCAAGCCUGGCUUGGUGUUGGGCGACGUCCCCUUUGGGGACGCGCCUCGAAACGCUCGGCGGCGUGGCACCGGCUUUAAGCGUAGCAGAAUCUUUCGCUUUGGAAGUCGGGGCCCCGUCUGCCGGAAGACCUACUCGCAAGGUUGACCUCGGAUCAGGCAGGGAUACCCGCUGAACUUAAGCAUAUCAAUAAGCGGAGGA
rnacentral:misc_RNA from 1 species